UCAAAACUAAGUGUUUUUUUUUAAUGUCUUUUGUGGGGCGCUAAACUACUUUUAAUGCAUCGCACUCACCAAUAUUUUCCAACUAAAAUUGUGCAACAGAAAACAGUAUUGGCUAACUCUUCUUUAUGCUAAACAAUUGUUCCAAAUUUAAAACACAUUUAAGUUCAGUAUUUUUAACAUCAACUCUUACUCUAUUUUUUUCCCCCAAUAGCUGUCUUCAUUAACAAGACUGGAGU